UAGUUACCUGCCCAAUGUAUGUUUAUUAAUGGCCGCAGUAUUUUGACUGUGCGAAGGUAGCAUAAUUAKUUGCCUCAUAAUUGGAGGAUUGUUUGAAUGGUUUGACUARAUAUUYGUUAAGAUGGGGGUUUGUGUUGAAAUUGGUUUUGAGGUGCAGAACCUUCGGUUAUAUAAUAAGACGGAAAGACCCCGAGAUCUUUUAUACUUUGGUGUUUAUUUGGGGUAAAGGUAAAUUAUUUAUUUGCUUUUUGAUCCUUAUUAAUAUGUGUAUGUUUUAUUAAGGUUAAAGGUUUAGUUACCUCGGGGAUAACUGUGUAAGAGAUAAUUAGAGAUCUUAUCGAUUUAUUUAUUUGCCACCUCGAUGUUGACUUGGGGAUUUUCGCAGGCGCAGUAGUUUGUGUGAAUGGUCUGUUCGACCUUUAAUUCCCCAUAUGAGUUGAGUUAAGAUUGGA
rnacentral:rRNA from 1 species